UUCGGGAAACCGGAGCUAAUACCGGAUAAUAUUUUGAACCGCAUGGUUCAAAAGUGAAAGACGGUCUUGCUGUCACUUAUAGAUGGAUCCGCGCUGCAUUAGCUAGUUGGUAAGGUAACGGCUUACCAAGGCAACGAUGCAUAGCCGACCUGAGAGGGUGAUCGGCCACACUGGAACUGAGACACGGUCCAGACUCCUACGGGAGGCAGCAGUAGGGAAUCUUCCGCAAUGGGCGAAAGCCUGACGGAGCAACGCCGCGUGAGUGAUGAAGGUCUUCGGAUCGUAAAACUCUGUUAUUAGGGAAGAACAUAUGUGUAAGUAACUGUGCACAUCUUGACGGUACCUAAUCAGAAAGCCACGGCUAACUACGUGCCAGCAGCCGCGGUAAUACGUAGGUGGCAAGCGUUAUCCGGAAUUAUUGGGCGUAAAGCGCGCGUAGGCGGUUUUUUAAGUCUGAUGUGAAAGCCCACGGCUCAACCGUGGAGGGUCAUUGGAAACUGGAAAACUUGAGUGCAGAAGAGGAAAGUGGAAUUCCAUGUGUAGCGGUGAAAUGCGCAGAGAUAUGGAGGAACACCAGUGGCGAAGGCGACUUUCUGGUCUGUAACUGACGCUGAUGUGCGAAAGCGUGGGGAUCAAACAGGAUUAGAUACCCUGGUAGUCCACGCCGUAAACGAUGAGUGCUAAGUGUUAGGGGGUUUCCGCCCCUUAGUGCUGCAGCUAACGCAUUAAGCACUCCGCCUGGGGAGUACGACCGCAAGGUUGAAACUCAAAGGAAUUGACGGGGACCCGCACAAGCGGUGGAGCAUGUGGUUUAAUUCGAAGCAACGCGAAGAACCUUACCAAAUCUUGACAUCCUUUGACAACUCUAGAGAUAGAGCUUUCCCCUUCGGGGGACAAAGUGACAGGUGGUGCAUGGUUGUCGUCAGCUCGUGUCGUGAGAUGUUGGGUUAAGUCCCGCAACGAGCGCAACCCUUAAGCUUAGUUGCCAUCAUUAAGUUGGGCACUCUAAGUUGACUGCCGGUGACAAACCGGAGGAAGGUGGGGAUGACGUCAAAUCAUCAUGCCCCUUAUGAUUUGGGCUACACACGUGCUACAAUGGACAAUACAAAGGGCAGCGAAACCGCGAGGUCAAGCAAAUCCCAUAAAGUUGUUCUCAGUUCGGAUUGUAGUCUGCAACUCGACUACAUGAAGCUGGAAUCGCUAGUAAUCGUAGAUCAGCA
rnacentral:rRNA from 1 species